AGAGAGAGACAUGCGCGCAUAUCAAUAAGCGGAGGAAAAGAAACUAACAAGGAUUCCCUUAGUAACGGCGAGUGAAGCGGGAAGAGCUCAAAUUUGAAAUCUUCAAGGUUUUACCUUGACGAAUUGUAGUUUAAAGAAGUGUUUUCUGCUGAAGUUUUGGUAAAAGUUCUUUGGAAUAGGACAUCAUAGAGGGUGAGAAUCCCGUAUUUGACCAUUAUUUUCAGCUUUGUGAUACACUUUCAAAGAGUCGGAUUGUUUGGGAAUGCAGUCCCAAAAUGGGUGGUAAAUUUCAUCUAAAGCUAAAUAUUGGCGAGAGACCGAUAGCGAACAAGUACCGUGAGGGAAAGAUGAAAAGAACUUUGAAAAGAGAGUUAAACAGUACGUGAAAUUGUCAAAAGGGAAGCGUUUGACACCAGUGUUGUUUUCUCGAAAAUCAAUUAAAAAUUGGCUCGAUUUUGUAUUGUUGAGACCUUAAAAGCUCACUGUACAUUUUUCGUGUCUUUUUUAAUGCACUUUUCGUUUAACAAGUCAACAUCAGUUUCUUUUGUUGUAAAAGGGUCAUUGGAAGGUGGCUUUCUUUUCGGAGAAAGUGUUUAUAGCCUUUGGCCUCUGCAAUCGGAGAGACUGAGGUCUGCAGCGUAGACUCUUCGGGGUUAGAUACAUUUGUGCUAAGUUAUAGCUUUUUAUAGACAACUUGUUGACUAUAAUUAGUCUUGUAGCUUACUCGCUUAUGCUAUUUUACCUACGCUUAGGAUGUUGAAGUCAUCGUAUCGCGC
rnacentral:rRNA from 1 species